rnacentral:rRNA from 1 species
GACGAAAGCUGGCGGCGUGCUUAACACAUGCAAGUCGAACGAAGUGGCGAACGGGUGAGUAACGCGUAAUGAACCUGCCCUUCAGAGGGGGACAACAGUUGGAAACGACUGCUAAUACCGCAUACUGAAGGAGUGGAUUGCGUCUGCUUAGCUAGUUGGCGGGGUAACGGCCCACCAAGGCGAUGCUCAGUAGUCGGUCUGAGAGGAUGAACGUCCACAUUGGGACUGCGACACGGCCCAGACUCCUAGGGGAGGCAGCAGUGGGGAAUAUUGGUCAAUGGGCGCUAGCCUGAACCAGCCAAGUAGCGUGAAGGAUGAAGGUCUAUGGGUCGUAAACUUCUUUUAUAUAAGAAUAUGUAUUAUAUGAAUAAGGAUCGGCUAACUCAGUGCCAGCAGCCGCGGUAAUAC